rnacentral:rRNA from 1 species
UACGGAGGUUGCAAGCGUUGUUCGGAAUUACUGGGCGUAAAGGGGGCGCAGGCGGUCCUGUAAGUCGAAAGUGGAAGCCCGGGGCUCAACCCCGGAUUGUCUUUUCGAUACUGCAGGACUUGAGUUUGGGAGAGGAAAGCGGAAUUCCGGGUGUAGCGGUGGAAAUGCGUAGAUAUCCGGAGGAACACCGAUGGCGAAAGCAGCUUUCUGGCCCGAUACU